UACGAAGGGGGCUAGCGUUGUUCGGAAUCACUGGGCGUAAAGCGCGUGCAGGCGGCUUUCUAAGUCAGAAGUGAAAGCCCGGGGCUUAACCCCGGAAUUGCUUUUGAUACUGGAAAGCUAGAGUACGGAAGAGGAGUGUGGAAUACCGAGUGUAGAGGUGAAAUUCGUAGAUAUUCGGUGGAACACCAGUGGCGAAGGCGGCACUCUGGUACGUUACUGACGCUGGGACGCGAAAGCGUGGGGAGCAAUCAGG
rnacentral:rRNA from 1 species